UAUUUCUAGUUAACCAUCUUAAAGCGCUGUAUAAUUUUUCGCGAGAUAUUGUGAACUCUCUUGUGAUGUUCAAAUUCUCCAAACGUUCUGUAACUACAACGAUACCCACCUGGCUGGAAGAUCUUGGAAGCAUAUUAGAUCAAUCUGACAACGGGAAGGUGCUUAAAUUUCAAUUUCUAAUUUUGACCCAAAUAAAUAAAAAACAAAUUCCG